rnacentral:lncRNA from 1 species
CCCAACAAGAUCGUUGCUAUUAAUUAAAUUGUAAAUUUUUAAUUAAUUGAUUGACAAUUAUUCAAUUAUUUGAAGUGGGUUUGUUGUUGUUGAUUGAUAAUUGAACAAAUGGAGAUUGUUAUUAGUUAAAUUGGAGUGCGUUUAUUGAUAAUUGAACAAUUGGAGAGUGGAGACGGUUAUUGAUUAAAUUGGAGCGGGUUUGCUGCUGCUGUUAUUAUUAAUUAAA